AUUCAGCUUCUGCUGAGGAAACUCAUUGUGAUAAUGCUGGGAUUCUGGAGGAUAAAGUUGACGUAUCUGUUAUGAUAAACCAACACACCUUGCAGCUAUUCAUUGGCUGUGCUUAGAACUAAAUUUAUUUCUCAAUCAUUUGGUGAGUUUAAAAUGCAGAGUCUCCAGUUUUUAUCUGCUCUGAACAGCACAGCAUACUGCUCCAGUAAGCAUAAUGGAUGGAAAUUAGGCUCGGAAUUCUGGCUGGAGUUUUUUCCAUGUGAGGAAAGUAGACACAAAUAAAUCACCCUUUCUGCAUAAUGCCUUCACAGUAAACCAAAGGAUGCCAUGAGAGGAGAUGAUGGCCACAGCUCAGUAGCCUCUACAGAUAGCUCUGGUAUUUAGAAAACCAGAAGGACAAGAAAGAAAGAACAAUAAAGCAGGGGAAAUAACUUAAACAAUGUCUGAAAAAUUUCCAAGCUUAAUUGCUAACAAUAAACCACAGGUUUAGGAAGCUCAGAGAACAUCAAGAAGAAAAAAAAAAUAGCCAAAAAACCCACCACAUAACUCCAGGAAUAUCAUUUGAAACUGCAGAAAGUCAAAGGCAGAAAAACAUCUUGAAGGAAACCAGGAGUAAGGGUGGAAAGAUGGGGUUGGAAAACACUCCCUACCUGUAGAGGAACAAGGAAAUACAGAGAGAUUCUCAGCAGAAACUAUACUAGCAAUAAGAGUAACAUGAAAUCUUCAAUGUGUUGAAAGGAAAAAAAUGCCAGCAUAGAAUACUAUACCUAGAAAAUGAUUCUUCAAAAGUGACAAAGAAAUAAAGACUUACAAAGAUAAAAAACAAAAAAACUGUAGAAAUUUAUUGUUAGCAGACUUUCCCUGCAAUAAAUGUUAAAAAUAAAAAAGUUCUCCAGGGAGAAUAAAAAUGAAACCCAGAAUGAAAACUCAGAUCUACAUAAAGAAAGCAAGAUUUUCAGAGAAAGAAUAAAUGAAGGUAAAAUAAAUUAGUUUAUGUUUCUUAUUCUAAAUUUAUUUGAAGACAAUUGUUUGUUUAAAGUGAUACUAGUAAGAAUUUACUGGAAGAUUACAGCAUAUGGACAAUAUAAAGACUAAGGUUAAAAGUGAAGAGAUGGAGAAAAUCACAUAAUGAUAACGCUAAUCAAAAGAAAUCUGGAAUAGUUAUAUUAAUUUCAGAUGAAGCCAACUUCAUAACUAGAAAAACUAUCAAGAAUGAGAGGCAUUUUAUACUUAUAAAGGGUCAAUUAUCCAAGAAGAUGAACUUAAAAGUUUUACGAUGUUUGUAUUUAAAAACAGAGCAUUAAAAUAUUUGAAGCAAAAAAAAAAUCCCACAAAAAAACAAAUAGAAUUGACAGGAGAAAUAGACAAAUCCACUAUAUAGUUGAAGACUUCAACAUUUCUUAUUCCAUUAACUGAUAGAUAAGCAAGCAGAAAACCAGUAAGAAUAUGGUUGGCCUAAAUAGCACUAUCAAUCAACUUGGUCUAAUUGACAUUUAUAGAAAUCUCCAUAAAUAAUAGGAACCACACCUUCUCAAGUACACAUAGAACAUUAAUCUAGAUAGACCGUACUCUGGGCUAAAUCAUAAAAUAUGAUGUGACAUAUUAAAAAACAGAAAUCAUAGGAAAUAUGCUCUUAGACCACGAUGUAAUUAAACUAAAAAUUGUUAGCUGCAAGAUAGCUGGGAAAUCUACAAAUAUUUGGAAAUUUAACAAAAAUACUUUAAAAUUAUGCAUGGGUCAAAGAAGUCUCAAGAACAAUUUAAAGAUAUUUUGUACUAAAUGAAAAUGCAACAUACCAAAAUCUGUGGAAUGCAGAAAAAACAGCUUUUAGAGGAAAAUAUAUAGUCUUAAAUGCAUACUAGAAGAAAUCCAAAUAGUAUGAAACUAGAGAAGGAGCAAUUCAAUCCUUAGCAAGAUAAAGAAUAGGUAUAAUAACAACUAGAGUAAAAAUAAUGAAAUUGAAAACAGGAAAUCAAUAUAGAAAAUCAAUGAAUCCCAAAGCUGAUUCUUUCAAAAUAUCAAUAACAUUGAUCAACCUCUACCUGAAAUGAAAGAUGGGACAUCACUACUAAUCCUGCAAGUAUUACAAGGGUAAUAAUGAAAUUUUAGAAACAACUUUAUGCACACAAAUUUAAUGAUUUAGAUUAAAUGGACCAAUUUCUUGAAUGACUCAAUGUAUCAAAACUCACACAAGAAGAAACAGGUAAUGUAAAUGGGUCCAUAGCCACUAGAAAUAUUGAGUCAAUUACUAAUAACUCUCUGACAUAGAAAAAAACAAAAUUAUUCUAAAACUAAAGCUCUGGUAAUUCUGACAAUGUUUAACCAAAAAAUGAUAUCAAUUCUCAACAAUCUCUGCCAUGUUAGAGGCAGAGAAAAUACUUCCUAACUUAUUAUAUGAGGUCAGUAUUACCCUAAUAUGAAAAUGAAUGAAGACAUUAUCAGAAAAGAAAACCACAUGCCAAUGUCAGUUAAUAUAGAUGCAAAAAUUCUCAACAAAAUAUUAGCAAAUUAGAUCCAACAAUGUAUAAAAAGAAUUAUAUAUAGGCCAUAACAAAUGGAAUUCAUUCAAAGUGUACAAGACUGGUUCAGCAUUUGAAAAAGAAUAAAUGUAAGCCACACAUCAACUAGCUAAAGAAGAAAAAUGAUAACAUCAUAUCAAAUGAACACUUUUCCCCUAAGACAAGGAUCAAAGCAAGGAUGUACACCUCUCCACCUACAUUCAUUAUCAUACUAAAACUCCUAGUUAAUACAAUAAAACCAAAAAAAGAAAAUGAAAAUAAAGAUCUACCAAUUAGGAAGAAAGAACCAAAAUUAUCCUUAUUCACAUUUUAUAUGGUUGCCUAUGAAGAAAAUACCAAAGUAGUCACACUCCUGGAUCUAACAAAUAUGCAUAGUAAGGUUGCAGAAUGCAAGGUUAAUGUACAAAAGUCAAUUGAUUUCCUAUAUACCUGCAAUUAACAGUUGGAAUUUGAUUUUUUUAAAGUACCAUUUAUAAUAAAACCAAAAUCAUAAAACACUUACGUAUAAAUCUAACAAUAUAUUUAUAGGGUUUAUAUAUAGAAAAUUACAAAACUCUCAUGAAACAAUCAAUGAAGUUCUAAAUAAAUGGAGAGACAGCUUAUACGCAUGAAUUGGAAGACUCAGUGUAAAGAUGUCAAUAUUUUCCAACUUUAUCUUAAUAUUUAACAAAAUCCCAGUCAAAAUUCCAGCAGCCUAUUUGUGGAUAUCAAUAGAUUCAGUAUAAAAUUUAUGUACAAAGUCACGAGAUCAAGAAUAGCCAACGUGGUACUAAAGAAGAACAAAGUUGAAGGAUUCACAUAAACCAUUUACAAGACUUACUAUAAAGCUACACUAAUCAAGACAGCGUGGUAUUUACUAGAGAAACAACGACAUGUAGAUUAAUGGGACAGAAUAGAAAGCCCAUAAAAAGACUCACAUAAAUACAGUCAACUGAUCUUCAAGAAAGGCACAAGGGCAAUUCAAUGCAGAGAGGAUAGUCUUUCAUCAAACUGUUCUGGGACAAUUAGGCAUUCACAUGUUAAAAAAAAAAUUGACCUAGGCACAGACUUUACCCCUUUUGUUAAAAAAUGAACUCAAAAUAAAUCUCAGACCUAAAGGUGAAAUAAAAAUUAUAAAACUUCUAGAAAAAAAAAAUAAACAGAAGAAAAUUUAAGUGACCUUAGUUUUGGCAAUGAGUUUUUAGAUAUAACACCAAGACCGUAAUCCAUGGAAGAAUAAAAUUGAUAGUUGGCUUUUAUCAAAAUUAAAAACUUCUACUGGAGAAAAGAUGCUACUAAAAAAAUGAAAAGAAAACCAUAGACUGGAGGACAAUAUUAACCAAACACAUAUUUGAUAAAAGACUUGUAUUCAAAAUAUACUAAUAACUCUCUUUAAAACUCAAUAAAAAGUAAACCAAUUAAAAAUUCCAGAAAGGUCUCACUAGCACUUCCGAAAGAAAAUAUACAGGUGACAAAUAUGCAUAUAAAAAGAAGCACAACAUUAUUUGCCAUUAGGGAAUUGCAAAUUAAAACAAUGAGAUGCCAGCAUAUGUUAUUAAAAUGGCUAAAAUUCAGGGCAAAAAGCCUGAUAAUACCAAUUACUGGCAAGAAUAUAGAGAAACAGGAACUCUCAUUUAUUAAUGGUGGGAAUGCAAAUGGUACAACUUUAGAAUCUGGUAUGGCAGUUUAUUUCAAAAGUAAACGUAGUCUUGCCACAAUCUCCAACAAUCACACGCCUAGAAAUUUACACAACUGAUUUGAAAACUUAUGUGUACACAAAAACCUGCAUGAGACUGUUUAUGGCAGCGUUAUUCACAAUCUACAAGAAAACAGGGCAACCAAGUUAUUUUUCAAUAGGUGAAUGAAUAAACAAACCGUGGUACGUCUACACAAUGGGAUAUUAUUAUUUAGGGUAAAAAGAGAUGAGCUAACAGGCCAUGAAAACAAAUGCAUGAAUCUUAAAUGGAUAUUUAUAAGUGAAAGAAGCCAGUCUGAAAAAGCUACCUACUGUAAAACUCUAAUUCUAUGACAUUUUGGAAAAGGCAAAACUAAAGAAACAUUAAAAUAAAUACAUAAGUAAAUAAAGAAAAAUAUGGGUACCAGGAGAGUGGAGAUGCACAGUUGAAUAGAUGAAGCAUCGGGAAUUAUUUUUAGGGAGGUGAAACUAUUCUGUAGUUAUUGGAAUGGUGGCUAUGUGACACUAUGCAUUUGUCAGCAUCAUAGAACUUUGCAGCACAGGGCUCACUCAGUGUAUGCACAUUUUAAAAACUUGAUUUAAAAGGUCGGAGGUCUCAGGAUAGAAUGCCGAAUUUGACAAAACAAUCUAAUUGUAUUACAAAUAUACAGAACAACUCAUUGAAGGAGAUGAGGGUUAAAAAUACUGACUUAUGUGACUAAAAAUAAAUGGUAUUGCGGAGCGCGGUGGCUCACGCCUGUAAUCCCAGCACUUUGGGAGGCCGAGGCGGGCAGAUCACGAGGUCAGGAGAUAGAGACCAUCCUGGCUAACACAGUCAAAUCGCGUCUCUACUAAAAAUACAAAAAAUUAGCCAGGCGAGG
rnacentral:lncRNA from 10 species